AAUAAUAUAUAAUAUAAUAAAUUGAAUAUUAGUGUGAACAUGCUCUAAAGCGAACGACGUUAAAAGUAAAUAAAUAAAUAAAAAAAUAUCGGAAGUUAUAGCGUGUCUGCUUGUAGUUGAUAGGCGUGCCGGCAUGGCUUGUUUAAGCGAUAAUUUCGUUAAUAAAUUAUAUGUGCUAGAUGUCGUCAAGUGCGACGUAACAGUGCAGCAAAAAAGACAAGUACAGGGACAACAGCGCAAUGACAAAUCACAUCGGCAGUAGGCAGUGAGGCAUAAUGUAAAGACGACAACUUCCAUAUACACUGUAUUGCUUGUUUAUAUGCAGAGAAACAUGCAUAUAUUUUUUCGCCGUAAAAAUUAUCGUUACUAUGCUUAUUAUUGUGGCUUUUGUUGUUGUUCUUACGUAGUUUACUAAUGAGUAAUAUUCGAUACGCCUCUUUUCAAUGGCGGGUCGAAUGAAGCGUUAUCGUCGCUAGUGUAGCCCAUGCAACUGGCUGUUGAAUGAAUGUGACAUUUAGUAUCUGCCUUUCCGAAACACGAAAAAUAUUAUGACUGAUAUUGGGGAUGCAGAAUAUGCACUUGGCAUUGGUUUUUAGUGCUCUGCAUUGCAUGCAUUGAUAAUAUCGAAUUUUUUUAAAUUGGUGAUAUGGAGAAUAAUGAGAAAGCCGAAAUGGCAGAACAUCUCAGUCAAAAAAAUCGUUAUUAAUUUUCUUGGUUACUGAAAUAUGGACUAGAAAACGACUGAAGAUUAUGAAUCUACAACCGAACGGAUUACACGUUUAAGGAAUCAUUCAAAAAUAACCCGCCACGCAAAUCUUAAUUGUAUAGUACUGACCUCAAACUGUGAUAAAAACAUUUUGAGUUGAUACUUAAGUGUACAUUUCACAAACGAAUAAAUGCCAAAUAAAUGUAUAUACUGAGCUAAGAAAUUAUUUGUUAUGAUUUAGUUGAUUUGUUCUAAACAAUUUUGAUAUUUUUUAUUAAAACUAAUUAAUUAAAAACCGGGGGAAAGAAAAAUUUAUUUCCUACAAGUGAAUAUACACAACUAAGCGUAACACCUUAAACAUCUAUACGUAUAGCUCGAAAAUGGUUAAUGGAGUUGGUGCAGGAAUAUACUGCCCGGAGAUAGAUAUAAAGCAACCUUACAAACUGCCGGACUACUGCAGUAUAUUUCAGGGAGAGGUGUUUGCCACUGGGAAAGCUGCGGAGCUAGCCUCUAAUGCACCAACCCGAUACUCUAGAGUUAACGUCUACGUAGACAGCCAAGCGGCAAUCUAGGCAAUAACCUCGUUUCGUAUAUCGGCCAAACGUGUUUUGAGAAGCAGGGUGGCAGUGGAGAGUGCAGCCACGAAUAUGCUGCUACACUUCUACUGGUUGCCAUCGGUGAGGGGAUUUCCAAGAUCGGUCUACAGCUGUCCCCCGGAAACAUGAUCGACAUUGGCAAACCCGUGCACUGUCUGCCCGAUGAUAUAGACAGAUGCAUGAUGAAGAAAAUCAAAGCGAAAUUGAAGAAUCUACCGGGAUGCAAUACCGCAAAGUCAUUUGCAAAGCGGUGGUUCAGAAAUAUACAAGUUUCCUACUAGCACUGUGCAUAAAGGACUGUAGGACCAUGGUUAGCAUACUUACUGGUCACAGCCUAGCAGCAGCGCACGCCUGUAAGAUGGGGCUUUCAGAUCGCUUCAGGUAUCUAGGGACCCCGCAGAACGAUAAGUUGGAGGAGAUAUCAUUAGUGAGGUCUCAUCAUCUCUUAAAAUUCGCGUUAAACGCUGGCAUCCUAUCAGAUGACUACUUCUCAGGGAAUACGUGACGGGACUCCAUCUGGUAUCGCUAAGGACCAUAACUGGUCUUCGCGGGGCCUGUUGGCCCACCAGACUAACCUAACCUAACCUAACAAGUGAAUAUUUAAAUACCUAUUGGCACGAAAAUUCUCUACAUACAUUGUGAUAUUGCAUGGUGAAUUAUAUAUUAUAUAUUAAUUAUAAAUCUUCGUCGGUACGAUGCAGUUUUGUUGGCCCUUAAACAGUUUUACGUACCAUUUUAUGGAAAUCAUUUGCAUAGAUUACGCUUAAAACUUAUACGUUUUUGUGUACCGCUAUUUGAUAGGAUUUACAUGAAUGAUUAAACUUUUCCAAAUAAUAAAAAACAGUAAAAACUAUUUUCUAAUUAUAAAUAUAUGGACGCAACAUUUGAGUAUAGUUUUUUAUUUUCAUUUCUGUUUGUUUUUAAGGGUUUAAUAGUGAUUAUUCUCAAUUUUUAUUUUGCACUUGACAACCUUAACCAACUGUCUUGUUUAUAGGAUGUUUCGGCUGCUUGUAGUGCUUCGCAGACCUAUCUUAAAUGUAUGUAACUGAAAAUCCAAAUUAUGGUAAUUAGUAGAGUUUUAUUAGUAUUUUAUUAUGUUCACGUUAAUAUUUUUCUGUAACACAUUUAAAUCUCAUAAUAAUCCAUGACAGCCAAUUUAUAUACACACAAAAAUAUAUUUUAUGUGUGUAUAUUAAGGCAACUAAACAUUGAAGCAGAGUAUUGUAGCGCCAGCGUAUCUCACCCAGUUUCAAUUUUAUUAGUUUAUUACGAUUAUGAUCUUUUAAUGACACCGUUGUACAGACAAAUGCUUUACAGCCCUGAAUAGUUGACGUACACAGCAAUUCUAUCCUUAAAAAAACAAUAACACUAACAUGAGACCAAUGAUAUGCGAAAGAAGCGAAAUAACUUAACACACAUAUCAUAACAUGCUUACCUACAUACAUGUAGAUGUAGGUACUUUAAGUGGUAGUUAAAACGAAUAAUGCGUGACGCUGUUUUAUUAUUUGUUUUGAUUAUAAAAAUGCUUCCAAUGGCUCCGAAUCCAGUUUCUAUUUGUUUAUACACCGACGGAUUUGGUCUUCUAUACCAUCACCAAAGCAAAUGCAUAAAACAACAAAAUUGCUGAUCUUGAUGCAAAGAAACAUAGUAAAAUAUGCAAAAUUGUGUUAAAAUGUGGGCAUAAGUAUGGAAUAUAAUAUAUAUAUAUAUCAUGUGUAGCUAUAAGAAAUAUUAAAUUUGGUUGCAAAGAAUGUAAUGUAUUAUGCACAAUAUGUUGUAGAGUGCAGAAAAUAAUCUUUAUUUAAUGAAAAUGUGUAAUAAUUAACUUGACAAAAUGUAUUCAAAAUAAAAAAGACAUAAAUAAAUUAUUAAAAAUGUUAAUACACUAUAUGUUAAGAAACUGUUACUUUUAUUAACUCAUAAUAGGGACUAAUCAUUCAAUAUGUUAUACUUAUAUUAUAUUAUUUAUUUGCAUUAUUUUAUAGGAAAUGUUUCCUUUAUGUUACACAGUUUAAAAUGCAGUUCUGUUCCUACAUAUAUUCAGAAUGAAUAUUACUAUAUCAUUUAUCCAAUUAUCAUUUGUUUUUAAUAUGCGUAGAUAAAUUAGAUACACCAAUCUACCUCUUCGUCUCUAUUUUCUUAUUAUAAAGUUCCUGUUUAAUUUUGACGCUUACAAUUAUUAAUAUAAACUAAUAGACUAUUGUUUAUAAUAAUAAGAAAAAAGCAAUAUUGUUUAAUAAUCCUUAUAAUGUAGAAAUUAAUAAAGUAAUAUUCUAGCGUAUUCAAUUUGUACACAACCGAGGAAUCCAAAUCUAUGCCCAAUCAAAUUAUUGCGUUCCAUUCCACUCUAUACUAGUAUGUAUGUACAUACAUAUGUAUAUACCACUACCAGUGGCAAGUGUUCGAUUAGAAAUUCACUGCAUAUUAGAAAAUCCAUAUUUUAAUUCGUGAAAAGAAUUGGGCAUUUCAUAUACAAUCCAUUGAAUAAUAUUUACAUUGCACUGCUACCGCCCAGCAUCUAACGCCCGCCUAAGCCGAGUUAGGCCAAUCAAAUAGCGAAUAAUAUUCAC